GGGGUUGUGGCUCAGCGGUAAAGCAUUCACCUAGCAUAAGUCAGGCCCUGGGUUUGAUCCUCAGCACCACA
rnacentral:tRNA from 1 species